rnacentral:lncRNA from 1 species
GCGAUCCAGCUGGGGUGGAUCUCGGACCUCCUCGCGGACACCGAGCGGUUGAUAGCCAGCAACAGAGGCUACGUGCGUGACCUGCUCGAAUCCAUCGACGACGGCACAUGCCCCUUCACCUUCGCCGAGCUCCAAGACGAGAUCCGCGACCUCCGCGAGUCAAGGGCCGUCGACGCCGCGCUGGACGGGAUCAAGGAGAUGCUCGACAACGUGCGAGCCAUCCUCACCCGCGCUUCGUCCCAUGGUGCUCGCGAUCAUUUGUCAAAAAUAGAGCAUAACAUUCCACACCGCAAAUUUAUGAUCAAUCAUAUUAUAUACAGAUAUCCAAGGAAAGUAGGAAACUACAGCAAAUGCCAGAACGCACAGUUGUUCAUGCAUACAUUCUAG